ACCUCAAAUCAGGAAAGGAUACCCCCUGAAUUUAAGCAUAUAACUAAGGGGAGGAAAAGAAACUAACGAGGAUUCCCCCAGUAACGGCGAGUGAAGCGGGAAGAGCCCAGGUUGAAAAUUUAGAUCCAUGAGUGUCUAAAAUUGUAGUCUAGAGACGGUGUUUCCAGUUGUUGGUAUGUGCUUUAGGUUCCUUGGAAGAGGACGCCAUAGAGGGUGAGAGUCCCGUUUAGGCACGUGUUGGCAGCGUCCGGGUAUUGUUCUACGAGUCGAGUUGCUUGGGACUGCAGCUCCAAGUUGGUGGUAAAUUCCAUCAAAGGCUAAAUAGCGGCGAGAGACCGAUAGCGAACAAGUAGCGUGAGCGAAAGAUGACAAGAACUUUGAAAAGAGAGUGAAAGAGUACCUGAAAUCGUUGAAAGGGAAGGGUUUGCGUCCAGUGUUGGUUUUGCGUGUGGUUGUCCGUUGUUGCGAAAGAGCGGAUUGCCGUGCGUGGGACAGUCUCUGCCCGGCGUGGCGUUGUGGGGAGAGUGAUGGGGAGUGGUGUGCUCUUGUGGUACGCGCCUCCAUUCCACCCCCUCGAUCCGCGUUUUCAAAUCCAUGCCAUUUUCAGUAUCCACGGAUAGCUCGAAUGACAUAGAGGGCCAGAGGAAAUGUACGUUGACCGCCCGUCUGGAAACACGGACCAAGGAGUCUAAGAUGCGUGCGAGUGUUAGGGUGUUGAAAGCCGUGACGCGCAAUGAAAGUGAUAGGUGCUAUGGGGCGGAGGAAGUCCGUCCCGGCAACAUCGGCCGCUUUUGUUUCUCGAAGCAAAAAGUGAGUUGGAGCAUGUAUGUUGGGACCCGAAAGAUGGUGAUCUAUGCUUGUGUAGGGCGAAGCCAGGUGAAAAGCUGGUGGAGGUCCGCAAACGGUUCUGACGUGCAAAUCGAUCGUGAGACAUGGGUAUAGGGGCGAAAGACUCAUCGAACCAUCGAGUAGCUGGUUCCCUCCGAAAUUUCCCUUAGGAUAGCUAUAAUCAUGUUAGUUUCAUCAGGUAAAGCGAAUGAUUAGAGGGUUGGGGGGCGAAAUGCCCUCGACCUAUUCUCAAACUUUAAAUGGGUGAGCACGCGGGGUUGCUUUUGUGAAGCUCGCGGUUGAAUAGUGUUGGUUAUUAGUGGGCCCCCUCUGGUAAGCAGAGCUGGCGAUGCGGGAUGAUCCGAACGAGCGGUUAAAGUGCCUUUGUGUUGGCUCAUGUAGAUCCCAUAAAAGGUGUUGGUUCAUUUAGACAGCAGGACGGUGGCCAUGGAAGUCGGAAUCCGCUAAGGAGUGUGUAACAACUCACCUGCCGAAUGAACUAGCGCUGAAAAUGGAUGGCGCUCAAGCGGACCACCGAUCCCCGACCAACGGCGUGAGUGCUUUGCGCCGUUGAGUAGGAGGGCGUGGGGCUCGUGAAGCAGCCGCGGGAGUGAUCCCCGGUGAAACGGGCUCUAGUGCAGAUCUUGGUGGGAGUAGCAAAUAUUCAAAUGAGAACUUUGAAGACUGAAGUGGACAAGGGUUCCAUGUGAACAGCAGUUGGACAUGGGUUAGUCGAUCCUAAGGCAUAGGGAAGUUCCGUUUGAAAGGCGCCCUCGUGCGCCGUGUGCCGAAAGGGAAGCCGGUUAAUAUUCCGGCACCUGGAUGUGGAUUCUCCACGGCAACGUAACUGAACGCGGAGACGUCGGCGGGGGUCCUGGGAAGAGUUAUCUUUUCUUCUUGACGGCCUAUCACCCUGAAAUCGGUUUGUCCGGAGCUAG
rnacentral:rRNA from 1 species